AUUGAACGCUGGCGGCAGGCCUAACACAUGCAAGUCGAACGGUAACAGGAAGCAGCUUGCUGCUUCGCUGACGAGUGGCGGACGGGUGAGUAAUGUCUGGGAAGCUGCCUGAUGGAGGGGGAUAACUACUGGAAACGGUAGCUAAUACCGCAUAAUGUCGCAAGACCAAAGAGGGGGACCUUCGGGCCUCUUGCCAUCGGAUGUUCCCAGAUGGGAUUAGCUUGUUGGUGGGGUAACGGCUCACCAAGGCGACGAUCCCUAGCUGGUCUGAGAGGAUGACCAGCCACACUGGGACUGAGACACGGUCCAGACUCCUACGGGAGGCAGCAGUAGGGAAUAUUGCACAAUGGGCGCAAGCCUGAUGCAGCAAUGCCGCGUGUAUGAAGAAGGCCUUCGGGUUGUAAAGUACUUUCAGCGGGGAGGAAAGGAGUAAAGUUAAUACCUUUGCUCAUUGACGUUACCCGCAGAAGAAGCACCGGCUAACUACGUG
rnacentral:rRNA from 1 species